rnacentral:rRNA from 1 species
GACAGAGGUGCCGAGCGUUAGGCGGAAUCACUGGGCUUAAAGCGUGUGUAGGCGGACUUCUAAGUACCUUGUGAAAUCCCAUGGCUCAACCAUGGAACUGCUUGGUAUACUGGUUGUCUUGAGCCACUUAGGGGCAGUCGGAACAGAUGGUGGAGCGGUGAAAUGCGUAGAUAUCAUUUGGAACGCCAAUGGUGAAAACAACUCGCUGGGGAAGUGCUGACGCUGAGACACGAAAGCCAGGGGAGCGAACGGG